CCGAGAGCUGAUUACGGAUGUGU
rnacentral:siRNA from 1 species